rnacentral:rRNA from 1 species
GACGAACGCUGGCGGCGUGCCUAAUACAUGCAAGUCGAGCGGACUUUCAAGAAGCUUGCUUUUUGAAAGUUAGCGGCGGACGGGUGAGUAACACGUGGGCAACCUGCCUGCAAGACGGGGAUAACUCCGGGAAACCGGGGCUAAUACCGGAUAAUAUCUUCCUUCGCAUGAAGGAAGGUUGAAAGGCGGCGCAAGCUGCCGCUUGCAGAUGGGCCCGCGGCGCAUUAGCUAGUUGGUGAGGUAACGGCUCACCAAGGCGACGAUGCGUAGCCGACCUGAGAGGGUGAUCGGCCACACUGGGACUGAGACACGGCCCAGACUCCUACGGGAGGCAGCAGUAGGGAAUCUUCCGCAAUGGACGAAAGUCUGACGGAGCAACGCCGCGUGAGCGAAGAAGGUCUUCGGAUCGUAAAGCUCUGUUGUCAGGGAAGAACAAGUACCGUUCGAACAGGGCGGUACCUUGACGGUACCUGACCAGAAAGCCACGGCUAACUACG